GCCAGACUCCUACGGGAGGCAGCAGUGGGGAAUAUUGCACAAUGGGGGAAACCCUGAUGCAGCAACGCCGCGUGAGUGAAGAAGUAUUUCGGUAUGUAAAGCUCUAUCAGCAGGGAAGAAGGAGGACGGUACCUGACUAAGAAGCCCCGGCUAACUACGUGCCAGCAGCCGCGGUAAUACGUAGGGGGCAAGCGUUAUCCGGAUUUACUGGGUGUAAAGGGGGCGCAGACGGCAGCGCAAGCCAGGAGUGAAAGCCCGGGGCCCAACCCCGGGACUGCUCUUGGAACUGCGCGGCUGGAGUGCAGGAGGGGCAGGCGGAAUUCCUGGUGUAGCGGUGAAAUGCGUAGAUAUCAGGAGGAACACCGGUGGCGAAGGCGGCCUGCUGGACUGCGACUGACGUUGAGGCCCGAAAGCGUGGGGAGCAAACAGGAUUAGAUACCCCGGUACA
rnacentral:rRNA from 1 species